GCAUUAAUGGGGUAGUGGUAACCUGGGUCGUUGCCAUAUUUCCUCUCGACCCGCCGGGGGUUCGAUUCCCUCUUAAUGCA